rnacentral:lncRNA from 1 species
ACGAAACCGACUGGAGCAUAUACCUAGAGCACGGACUGACGCGGACCAGGGUGUGGUCGGCCGCCGCUUGCAGCGUAGUGCUAGCCCGUAUGGACGAUAUGAUAGUGGUGCUGCAAGAGCGUAAUGGAUUUGUUUGUACUGUCAGGGCCUGCAAGCGCCGUGGGGAGGGGGGGGGCCACGCGGGCGUGAGGGAGCUUGUGAAUCCAUCCUCCCUCGCGCGCACACCGCAUGGCAAAUGAGUCUGUGUGGUGCUAUCGCCUUGGCCGGGCGCCCGGAGCGUGAGGAAUGCGCGUCAGCAAAACAUCGACACAACCUGCCAGCUACCGUCGGUACAGUAACAGCGCGCGAACGACGCACCAAUGCCUUGUCCCUUCUUGCUACGCAUUUAUGUGGGCACGGGUGGGAGCCACACACAUCGGGACUACGCUUUCCUGCCCCUUGCCAUGUUCCAUCACGACC